rnacentral:rRNA from 1 species
AUUGAACGCUGGCGGCAGGCCUAACACAUGCAAGUCGAGCGGAUGAAGGGAGCUUGCUCCUGGAUUCAGCGGCGGACGGGUGAGUAAUGCCUAGGAAUCUGCCUGGUAGUGGGGGAUAACGUCCGGAAACGGGCGCUAAUACCGCAUACGUCCUGAGGGAGAAAGUGGGGGAUCUUCGGACCUCACGCUAUCAGAUGAGCCUAGGUCGGAUUAGCUAGUUGGUGGGGUAAAGGCCUACCAAGGCGACGAUCCGUAACUGGUCUGAGAGGAUGAUCAGUCACACUGGAACUGAGACACGGUCCAGACUACUACGGGAGGCAGCAGUGGGGAAUAUUGGACAAUGGGCGAGAGUCUGAUCCAGCCAUGCCGAGUGUGUGACGAAGGUCUUCGGAUUGUAAAGCACUUUAAGUUGGGAGGAAGGGCAGUAAGCUAAUACCUUGCUGUUUUGACGUUACCAACAGAAUAAGCACCGGCUAACUUCGUG